GCCGGCUGCGCCGCUCGCCUCCAAGGGAGCGUUCCGUGCUGGCCCCUCGCUCGGCUCCGCUCCGCCUCCGCCACGCCGCUCUCCGAGCUUCGGCAGCAGCCAGCGCCCCCUCCACGCUGCGACCCCGGCUCUCGGCUCUCCGUCCCUGUAGCUCCGUGCCCAGCACCUCGCGCCCCGCAACCUCGCCGUCUCCCAAGUCCCGGGCCCCGCUUCUGUCGCUGUCCGUCGCUGUCCGUGUGUCGCUCGCUCGGUCUGUCUCUCCGCCUCCCCAGCCCUUCCUUCCUCCCUGUCUCCCUCGCUGGCUUGCACGUUCGCUCGCUCUCGGACGCGGCGAAACAGCUUCGCAGGCAAAUCCCAGAAACCUUUGCAAAAAGCUUGCAAUGAAAUUUAAGAAGUUCUUCGAUUUCGGCGCCAUUUUCGAGUGGAGCCAGAGGUGACAUGCGAUUUUUUAAAAAGGGACUUGGUGGCUGGCGUCUUUCCCGACUGUAACGUGGGUUACGGCAGGCAGAAAAACAUCUGGUGAUAAUUCUGAAAAAAGUGCUGUGGCGUUUGGGGGGGUUGUAAAGCACGUUUUGCGGGCGGGAUGGGGGCAAAUCUGACAUUUAAAGUGUUUAACAAAUGAGUGCGGCCGGGAAAUUCUCAGGAAACGGACUGGGAAAAAAAAAACAACAACUAACAUGGAGGGGCGGGGAGAGAAAACUGAGUAAGGGGCAGUGACCGACUGUCAGCCUCGCUAGGGUCGGGAGCGACUGGUUUUGACAGAAUGUAAAUGAACUUUUCCUCUUAUUUGCAAGAAGUUAGUUAUGUCUUGGAAAGAAAUGUGUGAUUAAUUUCACAUUGUCUCUCCCGAAUUAAAACUUUAAAGGUUGUUUAGUUUUCCCCGUAGGGACUUGACAUUGUGGAAGUUUGGCUAGAAUGCGCCGAGAGAAGGUACAUCGUGUGUUUGGGGUGUGGGGGACGAAGGCAUAUGCAAAAUUAAAAGACAAAACGUUGUAGAGUAUGAACAGAGGAAGAGGCGUAUUCUUUGGCUCUUAAAUCAUUUAGCCAAACACAUUGCAGUUCAGAAGGGGGUGGGGCUAUGGCAACUCGAAAGUAUCGAUUCUUUGUCUAUUGUAUCAGUGAAUGACCCUCUCCUGAAGUGACAAGACGCCCCUUUGUAAUCUCUUUUCGUAAGUAAAUUUCAGUCUAAGGGGAAAUAUGUAAACUAGGGGAUCGAGGUGGCUUUUUAGGGGUGUAACUCGUUGUACUAUCACUGGGAGAGAUGAAAGGGGUUAGGGUGAAAGGUAUAAAUGAAUUUGAUUCCAAGAGCAAUCUGGAAGGGACCUUCGCCUUUGACACCGAUGCUGUUUCGAAUGAACUUUUGUUUUUCUAAGUAGUCAACUAAGGAAAUGUUAAAUUAGGCAUGACUUUAACUUCUGACAUGAUGGCUCGUAUAUUUGUGUGGAACAAAAUGUUGGGAGAAAGUUGUGGAGUUUUACAUGAUAAUUGUACAUUUGCUAAACAUGUUUUUUUUUUCUUUUUAAGGGCAGUCAACGACAUUUUUCUCCAUUAAUCCCAAAGUCAGUGUAAAAGUUGUUUGUAAAUAUCAUUGCCAAAACAAGAUGGAAUGUAGAGAUACUUGAUUGUCGCAAUUUAGGGAAUGGGGUUAUUGUUACUAAUGACUUUUUUUUUUUACCAUGACAUAGUGUAUUUGUUACCACUGGAUCUCAGUCUGGAUGUUAUAAAUUCGAUACUUAAUCUUAUUAAAUACUCUGCACAUUUUAUUAACUAAUAAAUAGGACACUUAACAUUCAUUGUACUGGUUUUGAAAAACCGACUUAAUUUGUAAGUGUAACAAGAUACUUACAGUUGGAUAAUUUAAAUGUCUAUUACUUGUGCUGAAAUGUAUUUAACUUUCAAAACCAUUACAGUUAGUGCUGAUUUUGUUGUUUUAACUUUUAGGUUUGUGAUUGAGGAUUUCAGAGUGGGUUUUUUUUUUAAUGCUUAAUUGAAUAUUGUAUUCAAACAAAAAGAGGGCAUGCAUGUGACUUGUUGCUAAUAUGUGUCCAUUUUAAAAAGGAAAAAGUGGUAUCUAAUGAGUUAAUCAUUAAGGAGUAUGCGCAGUGCCGGCCAUUUCAGGACAUGAAAGUUUCUGUGGAGCUGCUUGAAACAGGAAGGAGCGACUUGACAUCAAGUAUUUAAACUUUUUGAUUUAUGUUUUGAUAGAUGACAUUGAUAGGUAUAAAUUAUAAAUAAGUUUGAGUAACCAGUUUAAUAUGUAAACUGGUAUUUCAUCUACAGAAAGUUCUCUGUCAUUGUUUGGAGCUCUUUAAAAUAACUCAGCUGGGGUGUUUAAGAAUAAAAACACUAGCAGUGAGUUAGGACAUCUAAUGCUUUUAAAGAUAGAUGUAUAUGUCGCAACGAUAGUGUAAGAAUCAGCUGAAGCUACCGGUGAGGUUUUGGUUAUUUUCUUUCAGUCAUCUGAGUCCAUUUCCAAUAAAGGUUGUUUUUUUGUUUCGUUUUUUGUUUUUUUUUAAUGGGGACAAUGAAUGAGACUUGUAAUAUGCAGCAGGAAGAAGUUUCACCAAGACUUUGAAACUGGCAAGAAUGAUCCAGAUGUCCAAUUGCCUCUACUUAACCUUAUUCGUCUACCUUCAGAAGUAAUUAGAUUCUCUUCCACACUAAUUCGUAUCCCCCAUCGCUCUGCUUUUCACCCACUACGUUGUUCCAAGAUUCAUCCUCAGGGGAAAAAAUUGAGAGCCACACUUUCGGCUCCACCUGCAGCUCCUGGAAAUCAAAUGGUGAAGUUAUAAGAAGUACCUUAACUUGGAGUGAAGUGGCCUAGUCAUAAGUUUUGCCCUAUUCCUUGCCAGGGGGUGGGGCGGGGCUUCCUUCAGUCAUCCAGUCUUUAUUCACCCGCAGGUACCCCCAGAUCGAUCCCCCUUCAUUGACUCCGAGGGGAUACAGCAGCAAUUCAUGUUUUGAAGUGUUCUAAAUGGUUCAAAACGUGAGGCGCUGCUAUACCCCCUCGUGGGGAAGGUAGAAGGUGGGGUCUGCCGGACGCGUGUUCCUGCCACCAGGUGCCCGCUCCCCGCGAGGCCGGCUCAGGAGCAGGACAACGAAGAAAACCUAUCUUCAGUCCCCACCCACGAAAUGCUGGGGGGUGGGGAGGACUGGAAAAGGAGUAAGGGGAGAGGAAGGGUGAGCAGCUGCAAGAAGUCUUUACACCUCUCUGCGGUUCCUGGUAAACGCGCUCAUGUCCUGGGUAUGGAAGGGACUUAAGAAUUCAGGAAAGAUCAAAAUAACGGGCCUCUUCCCCACUCCCUCGCCCUCCCUUCCCCGCUGCUGGGGGGUUAGGGAGGCUCCGUGGAGCUCCAGCACUCUAGAAGGAUCGGGUGAGGCGCGAGGCCUUGCGGGCGGGUGAACCCAAGGUGGGGUGGAAGGCUCCAACCCGCCCAAUCUGAGCCCGAGGCCUGCUGAGAAGCAUGGGGGCCUUGGGAUAGUUCCAGAAUGAGGAUGUGCGUUUCUAGCUGCUUUGCGCCCUCCUCCCCCAAAAAUCUGCUACCACAAUUCCAACCCGGCGGCACGCCCCCAAGACUCCUUUGUCGCCCCAGGGGCGGGACCUGAGCUGUCGAUUUCAGGAGCCCUUCGUGACUUCAAAAGUCCUGGGCACUGUUGCUCAUGAGUGCUGCACAACUGUCGCCCUCUAAAGCCACCUCCAUCCCUCACUGGGCUGGCCUCCUGAGCCUUCGGUGAGGAAACGGGGUUCCGAGUUGCCCGCCUGAGAGCUUAACAGUCUGACUAGAAAAGGGCUAAUUCGCUUUCUGUGCAAAUCUCUUGAGCUAAUUAUUUAAUCUGAAACAUGGACAGGUAAAGGACCAUUGGCGGGCGUGGGGAGGGAGGUGUGGAAUCUUUCCCACACUUUUUGUCACCUUAAAGAAAAAAAAAAGACACCCAAACUCCUCUGGUCUGAAUGGGCUGCCUGGAACUGGGCUUCCCGGGGCCAGGAGUGGGCCCCUAGAAGUUUCCCAGUUUGGGGUGGGGCCGGGGUUCCGAAGUCUAGAGCUGGGAGUCGGGUUCAGCGGCCCGAGACGCUGGCUCUCCCAGACUCC
rnacentral:lncRNA from 1 species